CCUGGCACACCCGUCUGCCAGCGUCGGAGGAGUCGGCAGGCUGCCCCUUCCAGCUCGACCACUGCGAUCGAUGGAUUCGGGCUGCCGCUGCCAGUUAGACGGAGAAAAUGCGCCCUGUCGCCCUUUGUCUUUCUCGUUGCCUUUCUAAUUCUUGUCGCCGCAUUAAAAAAUCAAUUAAA